rnacentral:rRNA from 1 species
ACGAACGCUGGCGGCGUGCUUAACCCAUGCCCGUCGAACGGAAAGGCCCUGCUUUUGUGGGGUGCUCGAGUGGCGAACGGGUGAGUAACACGUGAGUCACCUGCCCUUGACUUUGGGAUAACUUCAGGAAACUGGGGCUAAUACCGGAUAGGAGCUCCUGCUGCAUGGUGGGGGUUGGAAAGUUUCGGCGGUUGGGGAUGGACUCGCGGCUUAUCAGCUUGUUGGUGGGGUAGUGGCUUACCAAGGCUUUGCCGGGUAGCCGGCCUGAGAGGGUGACCGGCCACAUUGGGACUGAGAUACGGCCCAGACUCCUACGGGAGGCAGCAGUGGGGAAUAUUGCACAAUGGGCGGAAGCCUGAUGCAGCAACGCCGCGUGCGGGAUGACGGCCUUCGGGUUGUAAACCGCUUUCGCCUGUGACGAAGCGUGAGUGACGGUAAUGGGUAAAGAAGCACCGGCUAACUACGUG